rnacentral:tRNA from 1 species
GCCUUCGUGGUGCAAUGGUCAGCACACUCGGCCCGCAUUCGAGAAGUCCGAGGUUCAAGUCUGGCGAGGGCA